UUCCUACGGGAGGCUGCAGUGGGGAAUUUUGGACAAUGGGGGCAACCCUGAUCCAGCCAUGCCGCGUGUGUGAAGAAGGCCUUCGGGUUGUAAAGCACUUUCGGACGGAACGAAAUCGCGCGGGUGAAUAUCCCGCGUGGAUGACGGUACUGUAAGAAGAAGCACCGGCUAACUACGUGCCAGCAGCCGCGGUAAUACGUAGGGUGCGAGCGUUAAUCGGAAUUACUGGGCGUAAAGCGUGCGCAGGCGGCUUCGCAAGUCAGACGUGAAAUCCCCGGGCUUAACCUGGGAAUGGCGUUUGAAACUACGGAGCUGGAGUGUGGCAGAGGGAGGUAGAAUUCCACGUGUAGCGGUGAAAUGCGUAGAUAUGUGGAGGAAUACCGAUGGCGAAGGCAGCCUCCUGGGCCAACACUGACGCUCAUGCACGAAAGCGUGGGGAGCAAACAGGAUUAGAUACCCUAGUAGUC
rnacentral:rRNA from 1 species